UACAGAGGUCUCAAGCGUUGUUCGGAUUCAUUGGGCGUAAAGGGUGCGUAGGCGGCGCGGUAAGUCGGAUGUGAAAUCUCGGAGCUUAACUCCGAAACUGCAUUCGAUACUGCCGUGCUUGAGGACUGGAGAGGAGACUGGAAUUUACGGUGUAGCGGUGAAAUGCGUAGAUAUCGUAAGGAAGACCAGUGGCGAAGGCGGGUCUCUGGACAGUUCCUGA
rnacentral:rRNA from 1 species